UUUUCUUCCGGUUCUGAAGCCAAAGACUUGAGGGUGGUAUAUUAGGAUGGUUUAGUUAAAUUGGUUAGCUAAAUUAAGUUUGGUUUAUACUGGUUAAGUUUCCUUUUAUUUAACCGGUAAUAGAUAUAACGAACACUUUGUACAGUUAGGUGAUUGAGCUGAAUAACAAAUUUUUCAUCAUCUUCUUCGUUCCAUCUCUCUCUCGACAUAUAUCAAUUUUACUAUCACAAGCAAGAAGAUAAGCAUCCUGCUGUGGCAUUAUUCUCAUACUUUUAUAUUUCAAUAAAUAAGUUAAAUUAUCUCACA
rnacentral:lncRNA from 1 species